rnacentral:misc_RNA from 1 species
UUAAGAUUUAUUUAAUACCUCGCUAGCAUGGGGAGCAACAAUUUUAAUGGUAAGUGUACUUUUCCCUUACUAGUGGGUUCAUUUAUCAUUAAAAUAGCAAUUAUUUGUGCUAGUGUGGUGUAUUAAAUAAAUCUUAACGAUUAUAUAUUUGUAUUGAUUAUUUGAAAAGUCAUUUAAUGAAUUAUAAAUUAAAAUUUACCAUGUUAGUGCAUCAAAUAAAUUUUAAUGGAUACAAAUUUGUACCCAUUAGAAAACCGUUAGGAAAAUGUCAUAGGCAUUGUGGUUGGAUUAAUUAUGAUUGAGUUUGAAUUUAAAAAUUAAGAUGCAAUCGUUGGAGAUUUGACACUGGCCUUGGUAUAUGCUCUCACUCAAGGUGUUUUAACAAUUCUCUCACUGUCAAAAGCCAUUGUAUGAGAAUUAUUAGGUGUGCACCCAC